UACAGGGGGGGCAAGCGUUGUUCGGAAUUACUGGGCGUAAAGGGUCUGUAGGUGGCCAACUAAGUCAGACGUGAAAUCCCUCAGCUUAACUGGGGAACUGCGUCUGAUACUGGAUGGCUUGAGUGUGGGAGAGGAAUGCGGAAUUCCAGGUGUAGCGGUGAAAUGCGUAGAUAUCUGGAGGAACACCGGUGGCGAAGGCGGCAUUCUGGGCCAUAACUGACACUGAGAGACGAAAGCCAGGGGAGCAAACGGG
rnacentral:rRNA from 1 species